rnacentral:rRNA from 1 species
GAUGAACGCUGGCGGCGUGCUUAACACAUGCAAGUCGAACGAUGAAGCCCAGCUUGCUGGGUGGAUUAGUGGCGAACGGGUGAGUAACACGUGAGUAACCUGCCCUUAACUCUGGGAUAAGCCUGGGAAACUGGGUCUAAUACCGGAUAGGAGCGUCCACCGCAUGGUGGGUGUUGGAAAGAUUUAUCGGUUUUGGAUGGACUCGCGGCCUAUCAGCUUGUUGGUGAGGUAAUGGCUCACCAAGGCGACGACGGGUAGCCGGCCUGAGAGGGUGACCGGCCACACUUGGACUGAGACACGGCCCAGACUCCUACGGGAGGCAGCAGUGGGGAAUAUUGCACAAUGGGCGAAAGCCUGAUGCAGCGACGCCGCGUGAGGGAUGACGGCCUUCGGGUUGUAAACCUCUUUCAGUAGGGAAGAAGCGAAAGGGACGGUACCUGCAGAAGAAGCACCGGCUAACUACGG